rnacentral:rRNA from 1 species
ACGAACGCUGGCGGCAGGCUUAACACAUGCAAGUCGAGCGCCUCGCAAGAGGAGCGGCAGACGGGUGAGUAACGCGUGGGAAUCUACCUAGUUCUACGGAACAACACAGGGAAACUUGUGCUAAUACCGUAUACGCCCUACGGGGGAAAGAUUUAUCGGAAUUAGAUGAGCCCGCGUAAGAUUAGCUAGUUGGUGGGGUAAUGGCCUACCAAGGCGACGAUCUUUAGCUGGUCUGAGAGGAUGAUCAGCCACACUGGGACUGAGACACGGCCCAGACUCCUACGGGAGGCAGCAGUGGGGAAUAUUGGACAAUGGGCGCAAGCCUGAUCCAGCCAUGCCGCGUGAGUGAUGAAGGCCUUAGGGUUGUAAAGCUCUUUCAGUGGGGACGAUAAUGACGGUACCCACAGAAGAAGCCCCGGCUAACUUCGU